UAGGGAAUCUUCCACAAUGGACGCAAGUCUGAUGGAGCAACGCCGCGUGAGUGAAGAAGGUUUUCGGACCGUAAAGCUCUGUUGUUGGUGAAGAAGGAUAGAGGUAGUAACUGGCCUUUAUUUGACGGUAAUCAACCAGAAAGUCACGGCUAACUACGUGCCAGCAGCCGCGGUAAUACGUAGGUGGCAAGCGUUGUCCGGAUUUAUUGGGCGUAAAGCGAGCGCAGGCGGAAGAAUAAGUCUGAGUGUAAGCCAGCUCGGCUUAACCGAGGAAUUGCAUCGGAA
rnacentral:rRNA from 1 species